GAUGAAGAACGCAGCGAAAUGCGAUAAGUAAUGUGAAUUGCAGAAUUCAGUGAAUCAUCGAAUCUUUGAACGCACAUUGCGCCCGCCAGUAUUCUGGCGGGCAUGCCUGUUCGAGCGUCAUUUCAACCCUCAAGCCCCCGGGCUUGGUGUUGGGGAUCGGCGUGCCCUCGCGGCGCGCCGUCCCCUAAAUCUAGUGGCGGUCUCGCUGUAGCUUCCUCUGUGUAGUAGCAACACUCGCACUGGAUCGCAGCGCGGCCACGCCGUUAAACCCCCCACUUCUGAAAGUUUGACCUCGGAUCAGGUAGGAAUACCCGCUGAACUUAAGCAUAUCAAUAAGCGGAGGA
rnacentral:misc_RNA from 1 species